rnacentral:lncRNA from 1 species
AAAGUCUCCUAUCCUGGGAAGCUCUGUGAGGACAGGGACUCUGCCUUCUUCGCCUCUAUCUCCACUGCCUACACUGUGUCUUGCACGUAGCAGCCCCUCAGGACAUAUUUGUGCAAUAAACAAAUGAAUAUCUAAGCAACUGAAUGAAAAGGAGGGAGAGCAGAGGUGCCCCACUUUAAAGCUACAGCCAUCCCGCCUGAUAGCAGAGAGGCCUUGGAAUCCUGUUUUCAUCAUUUGCAGCACAUGCCGCCAAUGCCAGAUCAGCCUCGCCGAUGCUUUCACUCCUAACACCGGCUGCCUGCUUCCUGACAUCCUCAUUGAUGUUUAUGUUCCUGUCUCCAUAGUUACCGAGACGCCUCAGAGGCCAGCAGCUGUUUUGCAUCCCAAGAUCAACACACACGAGUGUCUGGAGACCCUGGGUGAUCAAGGCCAGGUGGAAGUUUUGGAAGCUAACAUGGUUGCACAUGUCAUUUCCUCAUGGACCAAAUGCCUGCAGCCAGCUUGUCAUAGAAUCAAACUUAGCUUGUCAGGGCUCUGAGCUCUUCCUCAGCCUGCAAGCUGUAGACGCAGACAGAACUUACAAAGAAUUAUUCUAAACAAGAGCAAGAGAGGUUGAAAGGGACUGUUGUGAAGAAAAGAGAGGCUACCAGAUAUUUAGGAAUAAGUGGGAGGAAAAAUUGCAAACCUAGAUUUCUCUUUCCUGUGGUGGUAAAGAAGCUCUAGCAUUUGGCUUUCUGAUUAAGGGAAAAAGACACAUAGAGAUGCAAAGGAAGCCUGGAAUUCAUCCUACACCUAAGGAAACCAUCGGGAUGAUCUGUGCAGGUGGUGACUUGGAAAAAGGAGAGGAGGAGGAGGUCUACACCAGCCCUUUGAGGAGGACCCGUGUGAGAUAACUGAAAGGAGAAGCCUGAGCAGAUGCUAAGAACAAAGAUUACGUAAUGGAGAUCUGAUGUUAAAGAUAGACCUAUGGCUUCAGACAGCAUCAUCCUCUACUUCUACGGAAAAUGAAGAAGACAAAUCAACC